UUUGAGGGGAAUGUUGUCUGGCUCGAGGACUUUUUGUUCAUCAAUCUAAUCGAACUUUCUACCUGUAGAUCUAGUAUCUUAUUUAAGAUUGAUCACGUAUUAGGGUUGUCGGACCAGGCUUCAUUCCCCCCAAU
rfam:Populus trichocarpa scaffold_14_contig_110, whole genome shotgun sequence.